AUUGAACGCUGGCGGAAUGCUUUACACAUGCAAGUCGAACGGCAGCACGGACUUCGGUCUGGUGGCGAGUGGCGAACGGGCGAGUAAUGUAUCGGAACGUGCCCAGUCGUGGGGGAUAACGUAGUGAAAAUUACGCUAAUACCGCAUACGAUCUAUGGAUGAAAGCGGGGGAUCGCAAGACCUCGCGCGAUUGGAGCGGCCGAUAUCAGAUUAGGUAGUUGGUGGGGUAAAGGCCCACCAAGCCAACGAUCUGUGGCUGGUCUGAGAGGACGACCAGCCACACUGGAACUGGGACACGGCCCAGACUCCUACGGGAGGCAGCAGUGGGGAAUUUUGGACAAUGGGCGAAAGCCUGAUCCGGCCAUUCCGCGUGCAGGAUGAAGGCCCUCGGGUUGUAAACUGCUUUUGUACAGAACGAAAAGGUUUCUACUAAUACUAGGAGCUCAUGACGGUACUGUAAGAAUAAGCACCGGCUAACUACGUGCCAGCCGCCGCCGUAA
rnacentral:rRNA from 1 species